rnacentral:rRNA from 1 species
GAUGAACGCUGGCGGCGUGCCUAAUACAUGCAAGUCGAACGGAAAGGCCCUGCGCUUGCGGGGCGCUCGAGAGGCGAACGGGUGAGUAACACGCGAGUAACCCGUCCCUGACAUUCGGAUAACUCUAGGAAAAAGGGGCUAAAAUAGGAUAGGAGCUCUUGCUGCACGGGGGGGGUUGGAAAGUUUCGGCGGUGGGGGAUGGUCUGGCGGCUUAUCAGCUGGAUGGUGGGGUAGUGGCGGACGAAGGCUUCGACGGGUAGCCGGCCUGAGAGGGUGACCGGCGACAUUGGGACUGAGAUACGGACCAGACGCCUACGGGAGGCAACAGUCGGAAGUAUUGCGGAAUGAGCGGAAGCCUGUUACAGCGGCGCCGCGUGCGGGAUGACCGGCUUCGAGUUAUGAACCGCUGUCGCCUGUAACGAGGCCUGAGUGACGGUAAUGGAUCAGAAAGCACCGGCUAACUACGUG